rnacentral:rRNA from 1 species
AUUGAACGCUGGCGGAAUGCUUUACACAUGCAAGUCGAACGGUAGAGGGGGCAACCCCUCGAGAGUGGCGAACGGGUGAGUAAUAUAUCGGAACGUGCCCAGUCGUGGGGGAUAACGUAGCGAAAGUUGCGCUAAUACCGCAUACGAUCUGAGGAUGAAAGCGGGGGACCGUAAGGCCUCGCGCGAUCGGAGCGGCCGAUGUCAGAUUAGGUAGUUGGUGAGGUAAAGGCCCACCAAGACGACGAUCUGUAGCUGGUCUGAGAGGACGACCAGCCACACUGGGACUGAGACACGGCCAAGACUCCUACGGGAGGCAGCAGUGGGGAAUUUUGGACAAUGGGCGAAAGCCUGAUCCAGCCAUUCCGCGUGCAGGAUGAAGGCCCUCGGGUUGUAAACUGCUUUUGUACAGAACGAAAAGGUUUCUACUAAUACUAGGAGCUCAUGACGGUACUGUAAGAAUAAGCACCGGCUAACUACGUGCCAGCAGCCGCCGUAA